rnacentral:tRNA from 1 species
GGAAGGGUGGCUGAGUGGUUUAAAGCAUUGGUUAUCUAAACCAACAUACGGUUUAUCUGUAUCGUAAGUUCGAAUCUUACCUCUUCCG